AUAAUUUAAAGUCAAAACUUGCUCAAUUAAACACUUCGUGGUGUCUGACAUUACAGGAAUUAUGAUAAUUGUUAUAUCUCAUGUGAAAUUAUGCCAUUGUUUUUUUUUCAUAUUCUUACUUUGCAUACACACUUUACGACUGCACCCUCCCCAACCGAAUCUUUACUAGUGCUACAUUCUGUUAUGGGUGAAAACAAUUAUUGAACUAAAAACCAGGCCAAUGAAAGCAGUAUGAUGCCCUGUAAUGUAGGAGGAUGCUGCUAUUGCAGUGUUUAGUCUAGAGCUGAAUUUAAUGAGAAAGGGCAGCAAUGUAGGUCAUCUGUGGAUAUUUGCAGACCAUAAUUGUGUUGUGGUCAUUUUGUUAUCGCAGGAAGCAUCUUCAAAAAGCAGUGCUACAAGGAUGUGAGCAGCAGUUUCCCUUCAACGAACGGGUCAAAUUCAUGGAAGCCACAUGCCUGCUGCUUCUGGCCUACACAAACAUGCAGCCACCAUAGUAAAGUUCUUGCAAAGACAUUCUACACGAACUUGCCCAAAGGCAGAAGGAAGGCACGCACAGAUGGACGCACAGAAAUCAUGGGGCUGCCGUAGAAGCUGUGAAUGAGCAUUAACCUACGUACAGAAAGGAGCGAAGUGGAGCUGUCCAUGGGCCGUGCACACAGUUUCAUAAGCAGGCUUGCAACACUUUUGACAAAUAUGUUCCUGAAUACACCUGCCGAAGUGGCAUUUAAAGAAGCAUGUAGUAGUGUACUUCACUGUUUAUUUGGCAUGAAGCAGCAGGUAUGCUUCCGUCAUCAGCAAGUUCACACAGUACAGUGCAUCUACACAUGGCAUGCUACCCCCACAUCUACCAGCCCGGGAUGUGUAGCUUGAUUGUAAAAUGUUUACUUUGACUUAACACAACAAUUAUUAACAAAAUGACAUGAAAGUUUCGC